rnacentral:rRNA from 1 species
AUGGAGCCAAAUCUGAUUUUUGGUGAAGUAGUAGAUAAGAACAGAGCAUUUGAAGACGCUGACGAAGAUGCUUUCAUCUUUGAGGAAAUUAGGGGUUCUUCGGAUGAUCAACAAGUAGAGCAGAUCAUGAUGUUGCAGCCUAAGAAGGGGAUGACGUUCGAUAGUGAGGAUGCUGCUGUUAACUUCUCUAAAGAUUAUGCCAAAAAAGAGGGAUUUGGUGUAAUAAGAAGAACCACUAGACAUGGAGAAGAUAGCAAGCUUGUUUAUUUUACUCUUGCUUGUAACAGGCAAGGGAAGGCUCAAUAUUCAUCCAAGAACUCAUUUAAACCUAAUCCAUCAACGAGGAUGCAAUGCCCAGCUAAGAUUAAUUUCUCUCGUUGUGAGGAGAAGUUCUGCAUUACAUCUAUUACGCUUGACCACAAUCAUCCUAUAAGUCCAAGUAAAGCCAGAUUUCUGAGAUGUCACAAGAAACUGGACUUGCAUGCCAAGAGAAGGCUGGAAUUGAAUGAUCAAGCAGGAAUUCGUCUGAAUAAAAAUUUUGGUUCACUUGUUAUGGAAGCUGGUGGGUAUGGUAAUCUUGAGUUCGGUGAAAAGGAGUGCAGGAACUAUUUGCAAGAGACAAGAAGGCUGAAACUUGGUGCCGGAGAUGCACAUGCUGUCUACCAAUAUUUUCUUCGGAUGCAAUCAAAAGAUCCUGACUUUUUCCAUCUUAUGGAUGUGGAUAAGGAUGGAAGACUGAGAAAUGUCUUUUGGGCAGAUGCAAGAAAGGUUGAUGCAUACCGUGCUAGCCAUGCUGUUCAAGUACAGGCAGAAGAUCCAACAUCAAAGCAUGAAGAUACAAUGUUAAACAAAUAA